GAUGAAGAACGUAGCGAAAUGCGAUAAGUAAUGUGAAUUGCAGAAUUCAGUGAAUCAUCGAAUCUUUGAACGCACCUUGCGCCCUUUGGCUAUUCCGAAGGGCAUGCCUGUUUGAGUAUCAUGAACACCUCAACUCUCAUGGCUUGCCAUGACGAGCUUGGACUUUGGGGGUCUUGCUGGCCUAUGGUCAGCUCCUCUAAAAUAAAUCAGCUUGCCAGUGUUUGGUGGGUAUCACAGGUGUGAUAACUAUCUACGCUUGUGGUUUUCCACCAGGUAACCUUCAGCAGUGGAGGUUCGCUGGAGCUCACAGAUGUGUCUCUCCUCAGUGAGGACAGCUCUUUGAAUGUUUGAUCUCAAAUCAGGUAGGACUACCCGCUGAACUUAAGCAUAUCAAUAAGCGGAGGA
rnacentral:misc_RNA from 1 species